rnacentral:rRNA from 1 species
CCUACGGGUGGCAGCAGUGAGGAAUAUUGGUCAAUGGGCGCGAGCCUGAACCAGCCAAGUAGCGUGAAGGAUGAAGGCCCUACGGGUGGUAAACUGCGGUUAUAAAGGAAUAAAGUGAGGCACGUGUGCCUUUUUGUAUGUACUUUAUGAAUAAGGAUCGGCUAACUCCGUGCCAGCAGCCGCGGUAAUACGGAGGAUCCGAGCGUUAUCCGGAUUUCUUGGGUUUAAAGGGAGCGUAGAUGGGUUGGUAAGUCAGUUGUGAAAGUUUGCGGCUCAACCGUAAAAUUGCACUUGAUACUGGCAGUCUUGAGUACAGUUGAGGUAGGCGGAAUUCGUGGUGUAGCUGUGAAAUGCUUAGAUAUCACGAAGAACUCCGAUUGCGAAGGCAGCUUACUACACUGCCACUGACAUUGAUGCUCGAAAGUGUGGGUAUCAAACAGGAUUAGCUACCCUUGUAGUC